rnacentral:rRNA from 1 species
GUUCGAUUAUGGCUCAGAUUGAACGCUGCUGGCGGGAUGCUUUACACAUGCAGGUCAGACGGCGGCACACGGACUUCCGGUCUGGUGGCGAGUGGCGAACGGGUGAGUAAUGUAUCGGAACGUGCCUAGUAGCGGGGGAUAACUACACGAAAGGCGUAGCUAAUACCGCAUACGCCCUUCGGAAAGCGGGGGACCUUCGGGCCUCGCACUAUUAGAGCGGCCGAUAUCGGAUUGGCUAGUUGGUGGGGUAACGGCUCACCGUGACGAUCCGUAGCUGGUUUGAGAGGACGACCAGCCACACUGGGACUGAGGGCAGCCCAGACUCCUGAAGGCAGCGAUGAAAUUUUGGACAAUGUGGAAGCCCUGAUCAGCCAUCCCGCGUGUGCGAUGAAGGCCUUCGGGUUGUAAACACUUUUGGCAGGAAAGAAACGGCACGGGAUAAUACCCAGUACAGCAUGACCACCUGCAGAAUAACAUUAACUACGUGCCAGCAGCCGCGGUAAUACGUAAGGGUGCAAGCGUUAAUCCAGAAUUACUGGGCGUAAAGCGUGCGCCAGGCGGUUCCGGAAAGAAAGAUGUGAAAUCCAGAGCUUAACUUUGAACUGCAUUUUUAACUACCGAGCUAGAGUGUCAGAGGGAGGUGGAAUUCCGCGUGUAGCAGUGAAAUGCGUAUUCAUGCGGAGGAACACCGAUGGCGAAGGCAGCCUCCUGGGAUAACACUGACGCUCAUGCACGAAAAAGCGUGAGGCAAACAGGAUUAGAUACCCUGGUAGUCCACGCCUAAACGAUGUCAACUAACAAUUUGCAGGGCCUUCGGGCCUUGGUAGCGCAGCUAACGCGUGAAGUUGACCGCCUGGGAAUCUCAGGUCGCGGAAUUAAAGCUCAAAGGAAUUGACGGGGACCGCAAGCGGUGGAUGAUGUGGACAAUUCGAUGCAACGCGAAAAACCUUACCUACCCUUAGACCUGCCGGAAUCCCGAAAGAGAUUUGGGAGUGCUCGCAAAGAGAACCGGAACUGGGUGCUGCAUGGCUGUCGUCAGCUCGUGUAUUGAGAUGUGGGUUUAAGUCCCGCAACGAGCGCAACCCUUGUCAUUAGUUGCUACGAAAGGGCACUCUAAUGGGGCUGCCGGCAGUGACAAACCGGAGGAAGUGGGGAUGACGUCAAGUCCUCAUGGCCCUUAUGGUAGAGCUUCACACGUCAUGUACAAUGGUCGGGACAGAGGAUAACACGCUGCGGGAGGAACGCCGUCGACUUGAUCGUAGUCCGGAUCGCAGUCUGCAACUCGACUGCGUGAAGUCAGAAUCGCUAGUAAUGGUAGCGGAUCAGCAUGUCGCGGUGAAUACGUUCCCGGGUCUUGUACACACCGCCCGUCACCAUGGGAGUGGGUUUUACCCAGAAGUAGUUAGCCUAACCGUAAGGGCGAUUACGGUAAGGAUUCAUGACUGGGGUGAAGUCGUAACAGGGUAA